rnacentral:tRNA from 3 species
GCGUCUGUAGCUCAGGGGAUAGAGCACCGCUCUCCUAAAGCGGGUGUCGACGGUUCGAAUCCGCCCAGGCGCACCA